rnacentral:rRNA from 1 species
GUGUCGUGAGAUGUUGGGUUAAGUCCCGUAACGAGCGCAACCCUUGUCCUUAGUUACCAGCACGUUAUGGUGGGCACUCUAAGGAGACUGCCGGUGGACAAACCGGAGGAAGGUGGGGAUGACGUCAAGUCAUCAUGGCCCUUACGGCCUGGGCUACACACGUGCUACAAUGGUCGGUACAAAGGGUUGCCAAGCCGCGAGGUGGAGCUAAUCCCAUAAAACCGAUCGUAGUCCGGAUCGCAGUCUGCAACUCGACUGCGUGAAGUCGGAAUCGCUAGUAAUCGUGAAUCAGAAUGUCACGGUGAAUACGUUCCCGGGCCUU